rnacentral:lncRNA from 1 species
AGAGAGAGUCAGAGUGGAAUAAACUCAGACGGUGAGGACACACAGACCGCAGAAUCACAACCAUGAAUGCUGUAAAUGCUGUGCAACUGUUCAUUCUGGUUUGGACCUUUACUGCUGUCUGUCAAGCUGAUAAAGAUUUAAGUGUAAGCUGUGAUGAUGUGAUUGGAUCUGUGGGGAAAGAAGUACAUCUCACCUGCAGCGUCUCACUGCAGUGCCCUAAUUGUUCCAUUCAAAUGUGUAAGUUUCGAUACCCUGAGAGCUUCAAAGACUCAACAAUCUGUAAAGAAGAGCCUCCUGUGAACUCCUGUGAUCAGAGAAACAGCUUCACAUGCCGCUACACUCCAAAUACAACAAUGACAGAAAAAUUCAGUUUCUUUGUGCAAACAAACUGUGGAAGGAAAACAACAAAAUUCACUGUGGACAUAGCAGGGCCCACUACACCUGAAACUGUUUCUGGAGCUCCUGGCGAGCAAGCGGAAGUCAAGAUCAUGAACGCAUCAGGACGAUCAGCACCAGACACAGCAGCAGGUCACAAAUCUAAGGUUUCUGUCAUCGCUGCAGCUGUGGGCUGCUUCAUCCUCAUCAUCAUCAUAAUGACAAUCAUUCACUACAAGAAAUCAAUCUUCACCAAACCUUGUGAAUUCCAGGAUGUUUCUGUGCAUCAAAUAUGAUGAAGACAACAGUAAUUGUCCAGAAAAUGUGGUAUAAUAGCAUUGACUCAGCAGUACGAGUUAUCAUGUGGUGCUCAUGAAACACACAGCUUUAUUUGAACUCCAGCAAACUCCAUACUCUACUAUCUGUUAAUGAAUAUAUAACUCUGGCUGUUGGUUUAAAACUAAAACUUCAAUUUAUAUUAAUUUCUGUGA